rnacentral:rRNA from 1 species
GAACGCUGGUGGCAUACUUAACACAUGCAAGUCGAACGGUAACAGGACUAGCUUGCUAGUUGCUGACGAGUGGCGGACGGGUGAGUAACGCGUAGGAAUCUGCCCAUCUGAGGGGGAUACCAGUUGGAAACGACUGUUAAUACCGCAUAGUAUCUGUGGAUUAAAGGUGGCUUUUGGGCUGUCGCAGAUGGAUGAGCCUGCGUUGGAUUAGCUAGUUGGUGGGGUAAAGGCCUACCAAGGAAGGCUACGAUCCAUAGCUGAUUUGAGAGAAUGAUCAGCCACAUUGGGACUGAGACACGGCC